rnacentral:rRNA from 1 species
CUGGAGGUAUCAGAAGUGCGAAUGCUGACAUAAGUAACGAUAAAGCGGGUGAAAAGCCCGCUCGCCGGAAGACCAAGGGUUCCUGUCCAACGUUAAUCGGGGCAGGGUGAGUCGACCCCUAAGGCGAGGCCGAAAGGCGUAGUCGAUGGGAAACGGGUUAAUAUUCCCGUACUUGGUGUUACUGCGAAGGGGGGACGGAGAAGGCUAUGUUGGCCGGGCGACGGUUGUCCCGGUUUAAGCGUGUAGGUGUGUGUUCCAGGUAAAUCCGGUUCACUUUAACACUGAGGCGUGAUGACGA